GGGGCCAUAGCUCAGCUGGGAGAGCACCUGCAUGGCAUGCAGGGGGUCGGCGGUUCGAUCCCGCCUGGCUCCA
rnacentral:tRNA from 1 species